UGUAACUAGCCAAUAAAAGGCUCGGAUUGGAACGUCUACACUUCUCUUAGCACGCAAGCUAGCUAGGCGGCAAGCUAUCUGCUAAGACGCUAGUAUUGUUCCUUGAGGCUUUUGCAUCGUUUUGAACGGUUUGGUGCCCCUUCGUCUUUCACCGCACACCUACAUGGUCGACUCAAGGCAUCUCAAGGGGAGGACAGCAUGGAAUGACUGGUAAGUUGUGUACUGUGAUUGGUAGGUAAGAACAUUGGUAGGGUUGGGCAUCGUUUGAAUUUGAACGAUUCCGGUUCCUGACGAUUCUCGAUCCCGACGCGUUGAAGAGUAAGGGUCAUAAAGGUUUGCAUGGUAUUGCGCCAAACCCUGGCGUUUUGCUUUGUUACUCAUCAUAUUAUCAUAUAUAAAGCAUAUAAAAAAUGAGUUAGAGGGCUGAAAAUUGUCAAAUGUCAAAACAUGUUGAAGUUCAAAAUGGCGCCAUCCACCAUUUCAAAAUUGGUAUUGUCGUCAUUAUAUUGGGGGGGGGGGGGGCUACUUUUUCAUGACGCAGCGAGUAUUGCGUCAUCUUUCAGCCCCAAUAAAUCAUAAUUUUUUUAUGUUUUUGAUGUACUGCCACCUGGUGUGUGUUAGUGCAUUUCCCACAAUUACACGAUUUAUCGCUUCAGUGGGGUCUCAACUGAAGCCAGAAUGUAACGAAUGCUUGUUGAAAAUCUUAAAAACCAAAAAUCCAGCAGGGAGCGCUAGAGUUUAUCAUUUUUCUUGAUCUACCUGAUUGUCAAACGCAUUUACUUGCAAAAAAAAUACAAGUUUUCAUGUUGAGGAUUGAUCGAACGGGCCAGUGUGUGAACACUUGUGUGUGAGUGUUUGUGCGCGCGCUGCUUGUUCAAUGGGACCGUAUGAGUUGAGUUGACGUAUGUGACGGUUGACUGUAUGGCGCGACUGUGGGAACAAUCGUAUGCCUUUGUACAUGCACGCGCACUCUCACGUCACCCAGCGUGUGUGCUUGUACUUUUGUGUGCCGCGCGCCCUCUGCAGACGGCGGCUGACCAUGCACUUCAAAGGACUUUUAUGUGAGACUCUGCAGCGUGGGAAUUAAUUCAAAAUGCAGUUGUUUACUGAAUCUCAACUCUUAUUGGUAGAAUGUUUGUAUUCAAAAUGCAGUUGUUUACUGAAUCUCAACUCUUACUGGUAGAAUGUUUGAAUUUUUCCUCCUCAUUGGUUCAGUGAAUGGUCAGGUUUGUAUACAACUCUUUUAUAUUGGGUCCAACAGCUCAAAGGCCAUUUUACUCCCUGUGACUGAUGGUGAGCAGAGAUGGCGAGAAGAAUCGUGUUGGAGGAAUUUCUCACAGACUCAGUGGAUGAAGAGGAUGAUGAUUCAGAGGACUGUGCAUUGUCCAACUCCGAUGAUGAUUAUGAGCCACUUGAAGGAGAGGAUGAUGAGGUUACAGCAGAAGCAGCGGAGGAGCAACAACAGAAUCAGGUCAGCACACCAUGGCUUGCCAAAAACAAACAAAUUGUGUGGUCCUCUACAAAUGAAGUUUCAAGGCACUUCAUCCCGCCGCCUAUCGUACCGCCUGGCCCAACGCUAUUUGCAAUUGCCAGGAUCAGCACCCCCGUGACUGCUUUCAAUCUGUUUUUUCCCGGACGACAUUAUCCAGCAGAUUGUCAAAAUGACAAACUUGCAGGGAUAGCGCACUAUCACUGGCUGGAAGAACAUCACAGUGGAGGAGCUGUGGUACCGCUCUCGACAUGAAGCAACUGAGUCUUUGGGAUAAAAAAAGGGGAAGGUCACUAUUUUGACACAAUGGCACACGGGCGCUUUGCUCACAUCAAUCGUGCAUUACACUUUGAACUUUCCAGGCCACAGCGCCACCACAGCAAUAAAUUGUCACCCAUUAGUGAGUUGUGGCAGAAGUGGAACAGCCUCCACCGAAAAAUGUUUUCAACUUGGGUAUGGACCCUCUGCGAUGCUGCCACAUCAUAUGCAUGGAACAUGGAGAUCUACACAGGCAAAGCUGCAGGAGCGCAAAGGGAGCGGAAUCAAGGAAUGCGUGUGGUGCUGGAACUCUGCGACCUGCUGGAGGGCCACACCGUCACAGUGGAUAACUUUUUUUACCUCCUUCCAGCUGGCAAAGGAACUGAAGAAAGAGUGUCACUGGUGGGAACGUUGAGAAAGAACAAAGGAGAGCUUCCUGCAGUGCUCCUCCAAAUUACCCCUAGGCCAUCAUUGUCUAGCGUUUUUGCCUUUUCCCCCGAGAUGACACUUGUGUCUUACAUCCCGAAAAAGAACGUUUUGCUCCUGAGCACAAAGCACCGGGAACCGGAGGUGGAGGAUGGUCCCAAAAAAAGCCCAAGAUGAUUUUGGACUACAAUCUGUGGAAAGGGGCAGUCGAUCACCUGGACCAGGCAUGUGCCACAUAUUCUUGCCGCCGGAGGACAACAAGAUGGCCCAUGUGCAUAUUCUAUCAUAUGCUGGAUGUGUCUCUCUUCAAUGCAUUCACCCUCUUUACUCAGGUGGACCCUAAGUGGAAUCAACGUAAACUCUACAGGCGGUGUCUGUUUCUGGACGAAGUGGGCAUGGCAUUGAUUCAACCUGCUACUACAGGAGCUCCCCAGCCGCCUGCAGAGGCCCCAGUGGUGGCCACGCCACAAAGCCAGAAACGUGGGCAAUGUGACCUUUGCACUGACCGGCUACAGGCAUCAAACAUUUGCAACAAAUGUGGCAUUUUCUUUUGCCAAAAACAUGGCCAAAAGGUAUGUGCAAAUUGUUUUCUGAGUGGUUUGAAAGUUAAAAAAAAAAAUAUUCAGGAAUGACUUAGUUAUCACACCCUCUAGAGGGCACCAGACUUCAUCCCCAAUACUGCGAGAGGGAUAAAACUUUUGAAAUUGCCAUUGUCAAAAAAUGUUGAUGUUAUGAUUUAUUAACAUAUUCAAGGCUCUAAUGACCUGAUAUCAAAUGUUCCUACUUGGAUUUGUUUUUAUAUAUUACAUACAACAUAGUUAGUUUUGUUCAUAGCACACUAUUGCUUUUAUUGUCCAUAGAGGGCAUCCAAAAUAAAUUAAAAAAAAAAUAAAAACUGUAUACGUAUGGAUAGGUCUGAUGCCACUGAACCUUUUGAGUGGUCGCAAGUAAAAAAAAAAAAAAAAGUUAGAAAUAACUUAGUUAUCACACCCUCUAGAGGGCGCCAGACUUCAUCCCCAAUACUGCGACAGGUAUAAAAACAAAAAUACUGCACAAGGGUUAAAUGAGUGCUCUAACCAGAAUUUGUUUUGGAUGAAAAGUCUGAACGUCUCCAUUUUUUAAUAUGAACUUUUAUCAACUUUCCUAUGACUAUCAGCUAUUUUCAAAUAUGAGAUAUCAAACCAUUCAACUUGAAUAUAAAUGUUUUGAAGAUUAAGAGUACACUUUCCCAAAAGAUGUUUACCUUUGAAAAGCUAAUGUAAAAACGUCCACAUAUGCUGUUUGUCUUGUGUGUGUCAUGCUGCAGCCACUUGCAGUUUUUUUUUGACACCCUCAUAAGUAAACCGGAGUAGCCAACUGAGCUCUUAUUUUGAAGGCCGAAAGUGUGUGUGUUGAGCUGUUUUGACUGUUGCUAAGCAAGACCUGCUGUGCACAUGAAUAAACUUACCUCCUAGAGCCAUAGCUCCUGUCCUUUUAUUUACACCCAACUUCCACAUCAGCGGGCACCCUGAAACCCUUGGUUAGAUUGGCAUGAGACGGUCGUCAUUUAUUGUUUGACUUCCCUGUUUCUGACUAAGACGAGGUACUUUCACGCCAUGAAUCCAGAGGUGUUUAAUUGUGUUGACCCUCCUUUGCAUGAUGUGUUGCACUGGGCUAACUGCUCUUUUAUGAUGGUAAGCCAAACUUUUUAGCCGCUUUGUUGGUGUUCACAUAAGUGAGCGCCGAAACUCUGAAUCUAAAUACUGUAACAAAUAUGAACCAUCCCGGGAGAAUCGCAGUGUUGGUCCCGGUUCCCAUCGAUGCUCAAGACUCGAUGCCCAACCCUGAACAUUGGUAGUAAUGAGCACACAGAGGCUUAAGAACAUUUGUAAGUUCUAGGUGAUUUAUCACAGUACGGAUUGUCUUGUAACCAAUAAGAUAAUGGAUGCUAAAUUCUGAUUUAUGAAUGCUUUGAUUCAUCAAAGUUGAGCGCAGUACUUCAUGCAGCUGGUAGAGGCGCUGUUUAUUUGCAAUCCUAAGAGUCUAGCAGCAUCCUGGCAGACUUCUGUGGAUGAAAUACACACAUCUUUUACCAUUUUUUUUUUAUAUAUAUAUAAAAUUGUAUUUAAAAAUGUUUACGCGAGUCUGGUAAUUCUGCCACACCUGAUUGGUCACGGUCCAGUGACAAGCAUGUGUCUUUUUACCCCAACAUUUUUAAAGAUAUAUCUAUAUUUCAGAAAAAAAAUCACUUUUUGAACACUGACAUUAUUCAGAGUUGUACAUUGCCAAAAAUAAAAGAAUCUCCACAUGCAAGUGUCUCCCUGUGUCUUUCUGCCUAUAGAUGGCAGUAGCAACACACUAGAGCAGCUGUUUCUUUUUGAGCCAUUUUGCUUAUGGUGGUGAAAUAUUCCUGAGGAUUUCUUCAUAAAAACUGCUUGAACAAGGAGGAAGAUGUUAGUCAUCUAAUUAUAAUAAUCACUUGUCUCUACAGUGUGUUUUGUUUAGCCAGAGGGGUAAAAAUAUGUAUUUGAAUGGGGACGUUGUGUUUUCAGUGGAAGGGAGCGAGUCCACGGAGUGUCUUUUGGAAGCCAAAUAGAGUGGUAAUUAUUUUCCUGUCCGUCUGCAGCUGUUUUUCUCUCAGCUCUCAGUCUCGACGUUGCCAGGAAACGAGAGAAGGCUACAUUCUCUAGAAUGGGGGGGGGGGAGAAAAUACAAACACAUCACAGCCCACAGAGUAGAGAGUGGAUACUCUGCACGAUGCCCCACUUUCCAUGAACUCAUGCAUACAAUGAAAAGUAUUGCAGAGUCAUCUGCUUGUGUGCAUGUGCACAGAAGUCAUUUGUUGUUUGUGUCCUUGAGGCAGGGAAAAUACGGUCCAGAGGAGUUGGAAAUUACAACAGGAAGCCCUUUCUCCGCACUGUACGCUUUGUCAACAUUAGCCACGUAUCCUGUUUGCUUGACAGAGCUGAAGGGCACCCAGCUGGCACCUGCAGUAUCACAGAAGAGUACACCCCUCACAUUUCACUUAAAGGACAACACUAUUGAAGUGAAACUGAUAUAACUUGGAGUAGUCAGUGAAUAACGUGGAUUUAAUGUCAUCUAAAUAUGAGACCAACUGCUAUUGUUUUGAAUCCUCACACUGAUGACCUCACUGGUGGCCACCUUGGCUCCACCUUGACGCCACACCGGUGCUCAAUUGGGUUCAGGUGGGGCGGCGAUGUACUUGGCCGUUCUAUCACUUUAAGCUUCCUCAACAAGGCACUUGUCCAUUUGGAGGUGUUCUUGGCUCAUCAUUUUGGGAGGAGUUUCCCAAUGGAAGGGAUGAUCUCCCAGAUCUAGCCAGUGCUGCACUACUCACGCAACCCCAGCCCAUGACUCUACCACCACCACGUUAGACUGUAGGCAAGACACAGCUGAAGUUAUAAUUCCAAUUUUUUGACAUGAAGCUGACGUCAGCAUUUUUCCUAGGUUUGCAUUCAUUUUCCAGUUAGUGUACAAUAUGACGUACGUCUUGUUAAUACGUUGCCUGAGCCCAACUGUGUUCUUAAUGUAUUUUUAUCACAAAGCGUCCUUGUUAGCAUUCUUAGCUUGCUAACAAAAUGGCAAAUAGAACUGAAAGUCAGGUGUGUCACCUUUCUGAUGUCACCAGAAAACAAAACACUUUUUUAUAGUUCUACUAUUCUAGUUUUACAUGCAUAAAACUUCU